UUCCGUAGGUGAACCUGCGGAAGGAUCAUUACCGAGUGCGGGUCCUUUGGGCCCAACCUCCCAUCCGUGUCUAUUGUACCCUGUUGCUUCGGCGGGCCCGCCGCUUGUCGGCCGCCGGGGGGGCGCCUCUGCCCCCCGGGCCCGUGCCCGCCGGAGACCCCAACACGAACACUGUCUGAAAGCGUGCAGUCUGAGUUGAUUGAAUGCAAUCAGUUAAAACUUUCAACAAUGGAUCUCUUGGUUCCGGCAUCGAUGAAGAACGCAGCGAAAUGCGAUAACUAAUGUGAAUUGCAGAAUUCAGUGAAUCAUCGAGUCUUUGAACGCACAUUGCGCCCCCUGGUAUUCCGGGGGGCAUGCCUGUCCGAGCGUCAUUGCUGCCCUCAAGCCCGGCUUGUGUGUUGGGUCGCCGUCCCCCUCUCCGGGGGGACGGGCCCGAAAGGCAGCGGCGGCACCGCGUCCGAUCCUCGAGCGUAUGGGGCUUUGUCACAUGCUCUGUAGGAUUGGCCGGCGCCUGCCGACGUUUUCCAACCAUUCUUUCCAGGUUGACCUCGGAUCAGGUAGGGAUACCCGCUGAACUUAAGCAUAUCAAUAAGCGGAGGAA
rnacentral:rRNA from 1 species